ACUAGCUGCUCCCCGACAAUAGAUCGCGAUAGACUUUGACGGAUAUUGGUGGUGCAUCGUACAGAUUGCCCUAGGCCUGCACAGGUUGCGGACUUGCGUCGCGAUUCUCUGUAUUCGUCUACGUUUAUACGUUUAGCGCGAUACGGUAAGUUUCGUUGAAAAUUUGUUCCAUUGGUCGGAAUUUCGGAAAAUAUUUGUAUAAAAUCGAAAUCUUCGAUCGCCACGCGCACCGCUUCUUACGACGAGAACAAGACAGUUUACUUUUUAUUUCGGACAUUUUAAGAUGAAUCGUCGAUUCGGUUGUUUCGACGAUUGAGCGUUUCAAGGAAAUGCGAAGAGGAACAGCGAAAUAAAUGACGCCGCACGGGAAUUCGAUUCGAUCGAAUUAAACGAGACGUCUGAACGAUACAGAUUUCUGGCCAAGCAAAAGUGGGAAGCAUGGGCCGUAAGAAGUGCCGAAGUAAAAGUUGUCGGUUAUCGAAAGCGGACGGCAACGGCCGUGGUGGCAACGCGAGGAAUCGUCGGGACGAGAGUAGAGCGAAAGAGGAGGACGCUCGGUCCAAGAGCGAGGAAAUUGGAGCCGAUCGCGCGAGCAACGUCCCGAUCGACGUGCACUCGCGACUGAGUUACCCUUUGAUUCGCGGACGCUCGUCGGAGGAUCUCGAGACAUCCUGGUCGAUCGACGAGAGCGACGAGGAGGAAACGAGGUUGGUGUUGACCGUUAAGCCUCGAUUCGUGUUCGUGCCGAGCCUUUGCGCGGUUUGCUUGGAGAGGUCGAAAGUGUUUUGCGAACGCUGCCGAAUGGUCUCGUACUGUUCGCCGGUGCAUCGCGCGCAGGGGCUGCGGCAGCAUCGCGACUUGUGCGGACCACUGACGGAAAUUCGCUCGUCCUUCGCGGCCUCCAUGUCCGUCGAGUCGGAGGAACGGCUCGACGCGGAACGGUACAGGGUGUACAGGUUGCAGUUGCUCGCGAUCCUAGAAUCGAAGAGCGGCAGGCCGUUGAAACUUUGGGAGAGGGAGAUCGUCCUGUAUCCCCGCGUCUGCCGGAUCUGUCGUCGCUUCUCCGAGGAUUUCGAGUGUUGCGCGGCUUGCGGCAUGGAGUCGUUUUGCCGGCAUCACCGGCAACCGCACGACGAGUGGUGCAAGGAGUUCCAGGUGCUGCGAAGGUGUUUGUUUUUGCAGCACAACCACGGCCACGUCGAUCCGAAAAUUCCGAGGGGGCGAGAACGGCUCGCCGGCGGCGAGCUCGCGCUCCCGGGCACCAAUUUCGACGAGUUGACGCAUCGCGUGUACGGAGAUUGCUCGUAUUACCGCGAAAUGGACUGUUACACGUAUGCCAUGCUGUCGCACGUUUGCACGAUCCCUCUGACCACUCUGUACGCGAUGCAGAUCUGUUGCUCCGAAUGGCGAGAGAAACCGGAGCUGAACGUGCACGUGCUCGGGGCGGAGUUUCAAUUCGAGGGUGUAAACUUGCACGUUUGGGAGCGGAUGUUUCUUCACUUUCUGCCGAAGCUGAGAAGGCUCCGAUUGGCACUGGUCGGCCCAGAGCUGGAAUUGCCGAACGGCGUGCCGGCGAAUCUUCUGUCGAAAGUGAACCUGUGCCCCGAGUGCAAGGCUGCCGAUAGGCUCGUGGACGUUCGGUUUCGACCGAGAACGCUCUAUCACGAGUUCGUUCGCGACAGAGUCGAGCACGCGGAGGGGAGGCCCGACCUGAUUUGCGCGUUUAAUCCCGGCCUGUACAGGAAAACAGGUUUCGCGGGGGAGGACACUUGGCCGGAAACGAUACGAGAAUUUUCCAGGAUGUCGACACCCGUCGUCGUCACGUCUUACACGGCGAACGAAAUCUUUUGGGAAAUUAGUAGGAUCAAAUCUAUCGAUCGCGAGGUCGAGGUUCUUUUGGAACCGCAACGAAAUCCAUUCGCAUCGAUUAAACCGGACCGGAAUUUUGUUAGCGACGACACAAAUCCACUGAUAUACAAGAAUUAUUACGUCGCUAUAGUUGCAGGUAAAUCGAUUCGUUCGUGAGUUGCUGCUCGCGAAAAGCGACUCGUUAAAAGCGUCCACUAAAGACUGGCUGUCGCAUUAUAUCCGGUAGCAUCGCUCUUCGUUCGAAACGUCGCGCAGUUUCCUCCAACUUUUCUCGUCCUAUUCAUCUGUCGUAUCGUUGUCGAGUCUUUUUUAUUUCCGCAGAUUUACAAACGCGCGAAUCGAAGUUUGCACCGCUUCCCUGCGACGCGUGGUUGUCGAAUAGCACGGCGUCUAUGCAACCACUUGUACAGUACACUACUCGUUUACCUAGGUACGUAGUUUUGUCGUAACGUAAGAAGGAGGAAGGGAAACGCUCUCGUAUCGAGGCGACGCGAAUUUCAUAUAGCACAUAUGUACAUAUCACAGACGAAAAUGCAAUCGAUCUCGUGUAUUGAUAUUGAAACAGCGAAUUUUUCACGUCGUUCGCACAAGAUUAAUUACCUACUGGCACGUUCAAAAUUGGCUCUAUGAAAAUAAACGUUUGAUCGCGCAGUUAUCUCUCUCUCUCUCUCCCUUCUCCGUCUACCUACUUACGCAUUCAUCCAUCCAUCCAUUCAUCGGUCCUCAUUUGCAUAUCUAUCUAUGUAGGUAUCUAUCUAUCUAUCUAUCUAUCUAUCUAUCUAUCUAUCCACCUAUCCAUCCAUCUACCUAUCAUCUAGAUAACUAGUUAUCCGUCAUUCCGUUCAUCUAUUUGUUUGUGUCUGAUGAAACUUGUAGAUUGCAACGAGUAACGAGCGCAUUAUUAUUCAUUUAUUACGCAUUAGUAAGGUUGCGUCGGUGCGGACAAGUAAUGGAAAUCGCUAGGCAACGAACAAAUAAUCGGACAUGUUCGAAUCCGUAAAAAUAUCGUAGUUGAGCAAACGAGUACCGCGUGACGCGUAUAUAGGCGCCGAGAAGGUAUUCCUUAGCCGCGAUCAGCUCGGACGAAUGUUCGGCUCAAUAAUUUUUCUCGAUGUAAUCGUCGAUCGUUGCGUAACGUCUAGGUAGCGGAAUAUCCCAACGACGUAUGGGAGUAGUUUCCAAGUGUACGGAACGACGAGACCCGGAACGUAUUUGCCCUCUGAAACGUAUUGUCCCGUACGAAUACGAGCUAAUAAUAGAACGCGCGUGGAACGAAUGGCACGGAAGGUAUUAAUAGUAUCGAAACAAGGGUGGAAAGAAGGAGUGCAGGAACGAGCAAGUGAUAUUCGAGUAAGUAUGGCAGUGUUGCGACUACCGAAGGAUUAGAACUGCGAGGAGAUCAAGAGGAGGAGCAUUGUCGAUAAAAGAGCGAACAAGAGGCAACUUUCGUGUGCGGUUCCCAAAUUGGUCACUUGGUAAAAGUAACGAUGAUACGCAUCGUCGCAAUGAGAUGGCCAAUCGUUGAAGCACGCUGCGUACGCUACCACGUGAGCGAUGUAAUUUUGUUCGAAGGUACCGCGAAUCAAGUGGGAAUACGGACCUGAAAGAAAAACCAAUUUUCUAAUCGACCAUUCCGACUUCCGACGCGUUGGAUGGCUCGAACGGUAUUGCGCGAAUAGCAAUCACGGGCGGCGUGUAGAAAGGCAAAGCGAUAAGAAAGGGGGAACCGAGAAACCAAGAAACGAUGGAUGCGGGCAAGCGAUGACGGAUGGCGCGGUGGUUGGACAGGGGAAAAGGAACUGGAGGAGGUAGAGUUGCCGCGUAGUCGGAAGCUGAGCCGUGCUCACCUGCUGCAUAAACACCGACGUCCUCUCCGCCGUGCGUUUCGGUCUUGAUGUAUAUACCGGCCAUAUGGGCGUAGAAAGGUUGGUCGCGUGUCCGAUCCUGAUCGAGGUCCCUCCAAGUUUCGUUGACGUUGUUGCUGUCGUUACGUCUGUGAUAAAAGAAACCCGGCCCAUUGGCAUAACUGAGCGUCUCGUAGGUCGUAACGUUCGAUUUGUUUGGAUCGCUGCCGAACCCAAGAAUAUCGUUUCCCCUCUUCGGGUAGCCAUUCAUCGUGAACGAGUGCGAAUGAUCGGCGGUUACGAUUAUCAAGGUUUCUUCUAGCGAGACUUGUUGCAAGGCUGCCAGUAUAGCUUCCUCGAGCUCCGAAACUUCUCGUAACGCUAAUUUCGCGUAGUUGUGGUGAUGAGCUAUAUCUAUUUUGCCACUUUCGACCUGCGAAGCGUCGGAAAAGACAAAGAUACGACACGGCGGAACUUUCGUAGCGAAUGAAAAUGUUGUCGGUAUUUCUAUAAAAAUACCCUCGAAAGUACAUGUACAAUACGGAAAUGUUUUCAUUGAAAAGAUGCCAAGAAUAAAAAAGAA